AGCAUGGACAAGCUCCAUGUACGAUCCCCAACCGCAGCCAAAAGAAUUCGAGUACCCAUUACCGCGAGCCCUCCUAAUCCCCAACCGCAUCCGCCCUACGCCCCGUCCGAAGGCAGCGCCGCCAGCCCCCUCCAAUGCCGCCGCGCCGCCAGCCCACUCCAGCGCCACCGCCCGAUGCAUGGACGCCCUCCCCCUACGCGACCGGCGCCCUAAGCCAGGCGCGGCCUUGCAUCCCCAACGCCGCCGCCCUAGGACGCCGCCCUGCAUCUCCAAUAUCGCGCCGCCCGUUCACCCGACGCGAGGACGCCUCUGCCUGAAUCGAGGACGUCAGCGCCCUGCACCACUGCUCCUCGAAGCCACACUACCUCUGAAGACAAACGCUGUACUGGAACUAGCUCACAGUAUCAACCACAUCGUAUUGCUUUCUGGGACGCCCUCUUUGUCAAGGUUGCAACUUCUAAAUAUACCCAUUGAAUUUCUCUCGGGGAUCCUUGUGCUGUUGUGCUAUUUUACUCAUGGAUAUAUAAAACUUUGAACAUGCAAAUAGAUUUAUAGUUUUACCAUUUUCCUGAAGAUGUAGUUCGUAGUUGUACUGUUUUCUUGUUACCAGUUGUUACAUGUGAUAUUUAUAUAUUCUAUGUGUAAGCUCAGUAUCUGUAUUGCGAUGUUAAAAGUGCCAUGUGUGGCUUUCCAUUCUUAUACUUUUUACCCUGCGCAUAAUAUAUCUGACUGCUUGUCUGAGGUUGACUCUCCAUAUUUGUUUGUUUUUUGGGGAUUUAACUUACAGUGUUUUCUCCUAGGUGACAACAGACCUUUUGACAUCUAUCACCAGAUAAAUAUGUUACGGUAAGGAAUGCAGAAUGACAUCUCAUUGUGUUGGUCAUAUCGAUCUUUCGUGAUCACACUCUCCCUUGUUUUUCUGUCCCAAUUUGCUUGGACAUGAUAAAUUUGAGUUUGCAAGGACAUACUGUUCACUUCAUGUUGCUCAAAGAUCUCACGGUAAAACCUACCAGGUAUUUAUAUCUUGUGAUUGUCCUUAUUGUCAAGGAGAUUGGCAGGUUGCUAUUACUAAGCUCUAUUAGAUUAUCAUUUGUUAUGUUAGGCACCGUCAGUGUUGCAGCCUUGCAGGCAUAAAUAAGUUUCAGUAAACAUGAAAUAAUGGUUCUUGCAGACUUGCACUUGCAAUUAAGUUCAGGAAGUAGUAUUUGACAAUCUGUACGUAAAGGGUUUGAUAUUUUUUACACGUUGUUUCAUAUGCAGGACUUUUCAAAGGGUGCUCGGUUGACGGAGUUAAAUGUUUUGCUCAGUCAGACUCUCAUGCCUGUCGGUGGCCAUCUCGCUGCAGGCUAAGCACAUGAAGAAGUUUGGGAAGAUUUGGUCAAGAUUCUCAAAAAGUAUGACAAGAGAACUGGGGUCCUUAUCCGUCUCCUCUUCAUUCAAAAUGCUCUGCUCCAACCUUUCUUCAACACUGAUAUGCCAGCUUGUCGGGGAGUGCGAGGCUAUGCUCGACCAGCUCCUACCAUAUUGAGCAAACCAUCUGUAUCGAAUGAACAAGGAACAAAAGAUAUCAACACCAAGACAAGCCUCUGAACCCUAUUUCUUCCUUGGAUAGCAACGGAUGCAUUCCAAAGCUUGAUUAGAUUGAGUUCAUGGAGAGCAUGUACAUGAAUAGCUUGAUGAGAUAGAUUGUAAAUUCUGUGCAAAUGUUAUGUCAUAUUGGGUGAUGUGAACGUAUCAUUGGUACACAUCCAGUUGUGCAAUUUGAAAUAUUUGUGGAAAAUACAUUUUAUUUUGUAUAAUGUC